CCCAUAGGGCACUCCCACCCCCCCAGAGUCCCCAUAGGGCACCCUAUAGUGCACCCCCACUCCCCAGAGCCCCCAUAGGGCACCCCAUAGCGCACCCCCACCCCACAGAGCCCCCAUAGGGCGCCCCAUAGAGCACCCCCACCCCCCAGAGCCCCCAUAAGGCACCCCAUAGGGCACCCCCACCCCCCAGAGCCCCCAUCGGUCACCCCAUAGUGCACCCCAAAGAGCAUUGCCACCCCACAGAGCCCCCAUAGGGCACCCUAUAGGGCACCCCCCACCCCCAGAGCCCCCAUAGGGCACCCCAUAGGACACCCCAUAGGACACCCCCACUCCCCAGAACCUCCAUAGGGCACCCCAUAGGGCACCCCAUAGAGCACCCCCACCCCCCACAGCCCCCAUAGGGCACCCCAUAGAGCACCCCCCCCCCCCCAGAGCCCCCAUAGGGCACCCCAAAG
ensembl:lncRNA